AAAUAGAUAGAUAUAUGUAAAUGUGUUUAGUUUAUGAGACAAUGGCUCCUUUAGGCAAAAUUAAUCAGUGUGCGUAUCGUGGGUGCAAUAAUGUAAGAAAAUGUAAAAACAAUGUUCUCAGUUUUUUCAAAUUUCCGAUUUUAAAACCAGUGUUGCUUAACCAGUGGAUAGAAAAUAUAGGCAAUGCGGAAACAUAUGUUAUGGAUGAAAAUUUAUUAAAAAACAAAGUGGUUUGCGAGAAACAUUUUGACAAAAUAUAUAUUGCAGUAAGUAAUAAGCGAAAGAGACUUUUAAAAUCAGCUGUACCAAUUUCAUGGAAAGAACCGGCCUCUAGAAACACAAUUUCUUUGCCUGAUACCUCAUGUAACGCUCAAAGCCUUGAGAGUUUAGAUGCAAAAGUUUCAUCAAUAAAUUGGGAAAAUGAUACAAUUGAUACAAAUGUAUUGCCUGG